UUGCUGGUAGCUCAGUAUGGAUAGAGCGCACUUUUUUCUAAGGUGAAGUCGCAGGUUCAAGUCCUGCCAGGCAAA
rnacentral:tRNA from 1 species